rnacentral:misc_RNA from 1 species
GGAAGUAAAAGUCGUGACAAGGUUUCCGUAGGUGAACCUGCGGAAGGAUCAUUAAAGUUAUAGUCCCCCGGCCCUCUGGGCUGGGGACUUCUAUACCACCCUUUGUUUAUUACACCUUUGUUGCUUUGGCAGGCCUGCCCUCGGGCUGCUGGCUCCGGCCGGCUCGCGUCUGCCAGAGGACCUAAACUCUGUUUGUAUAUGAAGUCUGAGUACUAUAUAAUAGUUAAAACUUUCAACAACGGAUCUCUUGGUUCUG